rnacentral:misc_RNA from 1 species
UCGUGCCUAUGCCAUGUGGCUAAUUUAAAGUGGUACGCUAACGUCGCGCCUCUGCCAUUCAUGCGAGCCUCAUGGUACGCUAACGUCGUGCCUAUGCCAUGUAGGUGCAGACCAUGAUGACGAUAUGGAGUCCACGCCUGAGCAAGCUGCUCGGAGCAACAAUAUGUUUCGCGAGCCUACUACGGAGCCUGUGCCCUCCUGCUCGGUGGGCGCCCAACAUUAGGAGACACAGGAGCACGAGGACGUUCUCCAGCC